UACGAAGGGGACUAGCGUUGUUCGGAAUUACUGGGCGUAAAGCGCGCGUAGGCGGAUCGCUAAGUCAGGGGUGAAAUCCCAAGGCUCAACCUUGGAACUGCCUUUGAUACUGACGAUCUGGAGAUCGGGAGAGGUGAGUGGAAUUCCGAGUGUAGAGGUGAAAUUCGUAGAUAUUCGCAAGAACACCAGUGGCGAAGGCGGCUCACUGGCCCGGUACUGACGCUGAGGUGCGAAAGCGUGGGGAGCAAACAGG
rnacentral:rRNA from 1 species